UCGUCCGGAUAUAACGUUCACGGUUUAUUGUUUUCACAUGUUGACAUGUAUAGGCGGCAUUAUAUCGGAUGUAUUCGUGUUUUGAUUUGUUAACAUGGAGAAAACAGACAUUUUAGUAAUAUGUUCAAGGCUCAAGCUAGGUUCAAAAUUUAGGGAGAAGUCACUUCUCCCUCCAGCUGAUUUAGGGAGAAGUGGGGAGACUUUAGGGAGAAGUGAGGAGAUUCAUUUAUCGAUGUUUGUUGUAUGUUAUCGCAAUUAUGUUGACUCACUGUACAUAUCUUAUUAAAUGAAUUGGAUUUGUGUUACAACAGAAUAUUCAAUUUUAAUUUAAAACAGAGACAUAGAUAGCUAUUAUUAUAACUAUUGUUAUCUAUGUCUCUGUUUAAAAGUAGUUUGAAACAAAUUAAGUAAUAAGAAUGAGUAUCAUGUAAUGCAACCAUUGCAUUAAAUGAAGAUAAAAAAGCCAUAGUUGAUUCCUAUCAUGGGUGGAUUAACAGUUAUUCCAUUCUGAUUUACUAUUAAAAAGCUUGCGCCGGACAUUAUAUUCAUAUUCACUUAUGUUGUAAAGAAAAUAAAAGUAGAUAACGAAAGAAACAAUCUUUUAUUUCACUUCAUUUGUAAUAAAUACAGUGUAAUACGCUGUUAAUUUUAUCAAAUUUAACUCGUCAACAAAAAAGGUUAUCAUAACUUUCAUUUAAAAUUACCGUAACAGUUAUAUGUCGAGCGGUCCUCUUAAUUCUGACAAUCAUUCGAUAGUGAAAAUUUAAUUGACGUUUGAUCCGUCCAUCAUAAAUAAUUGUUACAGGUAGUUGUAUGUUAGCGAUUUAAUGAUUGGUUAUAUAAUGUCGCCUCGAUUAAAACGUGAAUAAAGAUUGGUUUCUCGCACGUAUCAGUAAUCUCGCCGUGGGGGGAGUCUAAUUGUUCCUGGAGCAUCUGUUAAUUAGACUUUUAUGACAUGUUGGUAAACAAACGGAUUAAUGACAUUUUCGCGUUGAUUGAGAUGCACGACAGUCCCUUUUUCCGGCGGCGAGGGUAAACAAAGCAAACACACACAACAUGUUAUUCACAGUUAUUGUUGGUAAUUUUCAAUAAUGGAUCAAUAAAAUCGGGCGACUUCAUAUUCGCUUUCAUGUAGGAUGUCGGCGAAGUCAGACGGAAUUCGGCGACUAUUUUGCCCGAAUCGCCCACUAGCUUGAGCCCUGAUGGUCAAACUGGUUUUGCUUAACUGAAAAAAGGAAUAUUAAAACAUGAUCCAUAGAUAAAUAUUUUAGGCACUCAUCUGGUAUUCAUUACUAGAAAAAUUAAAACAAAAAUCAAGCAUAUCAAGGGGGAUAAUUUACGCUGAACGUUGCGGCAAAUGGUGGAUGUCCAUCCUUUUCUUUUUUCAAUAUACCGUAAAUUUGACUGAUUUUUGUAUUUUCUGAUCGCAAGAUCAGUAAAUACAUAGCUAACAUCCAAGGUCCAACACAUAUUUUCCUAACAGACCUAACAACGCAAAGUAGUUCUCACUCAGAACUGCUUAAAAACCAGCAAUUUAAAAUAAAGAAUAAUUUUUAAUAUAUGCAUUUAACGAAUUACAGUGCAUUAAAAGUUUAGAGUAGUCAAUAGAAAUAUGAGGUUACAAUCACAAAUUUCGCGGAUGAAUAUCUUUUUUACCCAAUGAAAAAUGUUCAGCUAUUUCCGUAAAGCUUAAUCAACGAAAAUGCUAUUUUUGGCUAUGUACAGAAUACUUGAAUACUCCAGAGCGUAGUACACAUAAAUCUGACUGUCGAGUAGUGGAAUAUAUACAUGUCGUACUGUUUUUGGCGAGAAGAUUUUUGCUAAAUUAUUUUCAUCAGUGUUAAGGUUUAUAGUGAAGAAAAUACCUCGAAAUUAGUAAGGAUUACAAACACGGAAUGGAAAUUCUCAAUUUAGAAUAACAAUGUAUUUGUUAUUAUUCAACCUACAUAUAUAUUACUUCAACGUGGUGCUGAAGUAGCGCGCUCGUUUAGGGUGUGAGAGGCCCAAGGUUCAAAUCGUAGUCGAGGCAACUUUUUUUUGAAGUGUCUUUUUUAAGGAAGUAGCCACGAUAUGCAAGGAUAAAGUAUGGCUGUCAUAAAAAAUGAAAGUGAUUUUUUGAUGCAACUCUUGUCAUGCAAAAUUCCAUAUGUAUCAAUCUCAAACUGUUAUAGACGCAGUCGCUGCGUAAGAUUAAUUAUAGUAUAUGAAAAUAAACUUAUAUAGGAAAAUACAUACAGAUAGUCAGUAUGAUUUAGAUUGCAAAGAUCAGAAAAUACCACAGAGUUUGCAGCCCUUUGAUUAAAUUAGCAGAUUAUAUUAGAUUGAGAUAAGAUAAUUAAAGACCACCCGCUCACAUAAUAUGAAAAGAUAUUCAAAGGUCGGACAAACUUAAAAUGUAAAGCUGGUACGGAUUCGGAUUUAUGCGCCUCAAUAUGCGGUCCUGUUCCAGAGUUCCUAUAUUUAUGUCAUGCUGUAAUUCAAUAAAUUUGCGUGAUCUUGACAUAAUCUAUUUUAACACAGUUAGUUAGAUAUAUUGGGACACUUCAGUCUAUAUUUUUGAACACAGAAUGUUAGAUUGAUGAAACAAUUGCCUCAAAGUUUAUCAGUGUCAGUUCACAUUUCAUAAUAUUCGCCGCCAUUGCUGCCCUAAUUAUCAUAUGACUAGCGAGAAUUUAGGUUCGGAUACCUUUGCAUGACAUUCGGUGACAUGUGACCAAAAUGCUAUUUUCGUAAAAAUAACGAAUUAAAUAGGGAAAAAAUGAAUAAGAUUGUAAAAUCCAUAAUGUGUUGGGUGGACACAUGGUGUAAUUCAAUAGCAGCAAUAUAAUGUAAUUUAUAAAGGUAUAAUUAAUCUCCAUAUAGAUAUUAUAGUGUUUAAAAAUAAAAAUAAAUUAUUUUACACAUUUAUUAUGAAAUUCAAGAAUAAAUAAUGUUUUAUCAAAUUUGUUCAUUUUCAAGAAGUUGUAAUUUAGGAAAGCUAUGCACAUUACAAUAUAAUAAUUGUUUCACAAACAGUAAACUAACAAGUUGUUUAAUUUCUUUCACAUUUGUAGAUCUAUCUUAAUAUGGUUAUUGAAGAGGAUGAGAUGUGUUCCAUGAAAUUGUAUCCGAUUCUCCAUUGAGAGAUACAGUCAGACAGCAAGAUUGAGCUACUCGUGUACAGUACUUGAGCUGCAUGUGUUCAGCGUAAAAUUGUUGUGAAAGGUUUGUGCUUUUUUAAAGUAAUACAUACAGAUUUAUACAUCAUUUAUAAAGUUUCUAAAAAAUUGGUUUUAACUUUUAACUUCUUUAUAAUUCUAAUUGAGGGUCUGUCUAUGAAAUAUUCAUCUUCAUAAAAUUUCAAAAAGCUAACAGUAUAUUGUCAGAAGGCACUGAUGUACAGUAAACUGGCAACAUUAUAAGACAAGUCUGUCUUGUCAUUCCAAUCCAAAAAACUGUAUUUUUUUUCAUUUAAGCUGUAAUGACUGCUAAUUAGAGACCAAACUAAACUGAGUUUUUCACGCAAAUUUAAUUUGCUUAUUUGCUCAAAAAAUUUUAAGAAAUUUUUUGAGCUUUUGCUACAGUCAGGCUGUCAUUGUUGGACCCUUUGUCAUUCCCAUUACUGUCAAGUUCAAAUUUUUCAAAUUUGCUAAAAUAAUUUAUUAUUACUUUGUUAUUAUACCCCUGCACAACGAAGUUGUAAGGGGGGUAUACUGGAAUCAGCUUGUCCGUCCAGCCAUCCGGGUGUCUGGCCAUCGACCGUCCAUCGGUUUUUCCUUGUCCACCCAAUAACUAAAGAUUCCUUUGAGCCACAGUCUUCAUAUUUGGCAUGGAGGUUAAUCAUGAUGAGAUGUCCCCUAUAGAUUAUGAGGUCACUGAGUCAAAGGUCAAGGUAACAGCGGCCUUGACUGAAAAAGCUUGUCCGCCCAAUAUCUUAAGAUUCCUUUGACCCACUGUCUUCAUAUUUGGCAUGGAGGUUAGUCAUGACGAGUAGAUGGCCCCUAUUGAUUUUGAGGUCAAAGGUCAAGGUCACAGUGGCCUUGACUGAAAAAGCUUGUCCACCCAAUAUCUAAAGAUUCCUUUGACCCGCAGUUUUCAUAUUUGGCAUGGAGGUUAGUUAUGAUGAUAAGAUGACCUCUAUUGAUUUUGAAGUCACUGGGUCAAAGUCACUGGGUCAAAGGUCAAGGCCACAGGGGCCUUGAUUUCAAAAAGCUUGUCCGUCCAAUAUCUUAAGAUUCCUUUGAUCCACAGUCUUCAUGUUUGUCAUGGAGGUUAGACAUGAUGGGUAGAUGACCCCUAUUGAUUAUGAGGUCACUGGGUCAAAGGUCAAAGUCACAGGGGCCUUAACUGAAAAAGCUUGUCCGCCCAAUAUCUUAAGAUUCCUUUGACCCACAGUCUUCAUAUUUUGCAUGGAGGUUAGUCAUGAUGAGUAGAUGACCCCUAUUGAUUUUGAGGUCAAAGGUCAGGGUCACAGGGGCCUUGAUUGAAAAAAGCUUGUCCACCCAAUAUCUUAUGAUGCCUUUGACCCACAGUCUUCAUAUUUGGCAUGGAGGUUAGUCAUGACUAGUAGAUGGCCCCUAUUGAUUUUGAGGUCAAAGGUCAAGGUCACAGUGGCCUUGACUGAAAAAGCUUGUCCACCCAAUAUCUAAAGAUUCCUUUGACCCACAGUUUUCAUAUUUGGUAUGGAGGUUAGUCAUGAUGAGUAGAUGA